rnacentral:rRNA from 1 species
CGGAACGGGUGAGUAACGCGUGAGUAACCUGCCCUGGGAGGUGGGGGACAACAGUUGGAAACGACUGCUAAUACCGCAUAAGCCCACGGAUCCGCAUGGAUCUGCGGGAAAAGGAUUUAUUCGCUUCAGGAUGGACUCGCGUCCAAUUAGCUAGUUGGUGAGGUAACGGCCCACCAAGGCGACGAUUGGUAGCCGGACUGAGAGGUUGAACGGCCACAUUGGGACUGAGACACGGCCCAG